GAUCAUUAUUGAAAUAAACCUGAUAGGUUGCUGCUGGCUCUUUCGGGAGCAUGUGCACACUUGUCAUCUUUAUAUCUCCACCUGUGCACCUUUUGUAAAUCUGAAUAUCUCUCUGAAUGCCUGCCAUUCAGGUUUGAGGAUUGAUCUUUUUCUYUCCUUACAUUUUCAGGUUUAUGUUUUUYAUAUACCCCAUGUAUGUUAUAGAAUGUAAUAAACGGGUCUUUGUGCCCAUAAAUUUAUACAACUUUCAGCAACGGAUCUCUUGGCUCUCGCAUCGAUGAAGAACGCAGCGAAAUGCGAUAAGUAAUGUGAAUUGCAGAAUUCAGUGAAUCAUCGAAUCUUUGAACGCACCUUGCGCUCCUUGGUAUUCCGAGGAGCAUGCCUGUUUGAGUGUCAUUAAUAUAUCAACCUCUUCAGCUUUUUGCAUGUUGAGUGUUGGAUGUGGGGGUAUUUUUGCUGGACUCUAAUUCGAGGUCAGCUCCCCUAAAAUGCAUUAGCGAAACAAUUUGUUUACUGCUCAUUGGUGUGAUAACUAUCUACGCUAUUGACGGUGAAGCAGGUUUAGCUUCUAACAGUCCAUUAACUUGGACAAACUUUUAUUAAUGUGACCUCAAAUCAGGUAGG
rnacentral:rRNA from 1 species